UAGGUAUCUACCCUUUGGCCUGGAAUAACACGAGGAAACUUGUGCUAAUACCGGAUAAGUCUUUACGGAGAAAGCUUUAUGCACCAUUGGAUGAGCCUGCACUUGAUUAGUUUGUUGGUGGGGUAAUGGCCUACCAAGACUGUGAUCAAUAGCUGAUUUGAGAGGAUGAUCAGCCACAUUGGGACUGAGACACGGCCCAAACUCCUACGGGAGGCAGCAGUGGGGAAUCUUGCACAAUGGAGGAAACUCUGAUGCAGCGAUGCCGCGUGAGUGAAGAAGGCCUUUGGGUUGUAAAGCUCUUUCGUCGGGGAAGAAAAUGACUGUACCCGAAUAAGAAGGUCCGGCUAACUUCGUGCCAGCAGCCGCGGUAAUACGAAGGGACCUAGCGUAGUUCGGAAUUACUGGGCUUAAAGAGUUCGUAGGUUGUUGAAAAAGUUGGUGGUGAAAUCCCAGAGCUUAACUCUGGAACUGCCAUCAAAACUUUUCAGCUAGAGUAUGAUAGAGGAAAGCAGAAUUUCUAGUGUAGAGGUGAAAUUCGUAGAUAUUAGAAAGAAUACCAAUUGCGAAGGCAGCUUUCUGGAUCAUUACUGACACUGAGGAACGAAAGCAUGGGUAGCGAAGAGGAUUAGAUACCCUCGUAGUCCAUGCCGUAAACGAUGUGUGUUAGACGUUGGA
rnacentral:rRNA from 1 species